CCUACGGUGGGCAGCAGUGAGGAAUAUUGGUCAAUGGGCGGAAGCCUGAACCCGCCAAGUCGCGUGCAGGAUGACGGCCCUACGGGUUGUAAACUGCUUUUAUACGGGACUAACAAUACUUACGUGUAGGUAUUUGCAUGUACCGUAUGAAUAAGGACCGGCUAACUCCUUGCCAGCAGCCGCGGUAAUCCGGAGGGUCCGGGCGUUAUCCGUAUUUAUUGGGGUUAAAGGGAGCGUAUGGCGCAUGUUAAGCGUGCUGUGAAAUGUUGGGGCUCAACCCGGGCCUUGCAGCUCAUACUGGCGUGCUUGAGGCCGCGAAAGGCAGGCGGAAUGCGGCGUGUAGCGGUGAAAGGCUGAGAUAUGACGAAGAACCCCGAUUGCGAAGGCAGCUUGCUGCAGCGGAACUGACGCUGAUGCUCGAAAGCGCGGGUAUCGAACAGGAUUAGAUACCCUAGUAGUC
rnacentral:rRNA from 1 species